rnacentral:lncRNA from 1 species
AGCAAUUACAGGAACUUCUAGAGCCAGUUCUCUUCAGGAGCAUGCCAGGCUGAAGCUUUGUCCUAUGGAGAAGCAGAAAAGGUCAGAGGAGGAGAAAGAAAGAGCCCUUCCCGGUCAAGGAGCCAGCCAGGGAGGGAGACAAAAGGAAGGAGGCUCCAUGGAGAAAAACAAGCAACAACAAUAAAACCCCACAUUUGUUCUAAAGCAAUGAUAGAUAAAGAGAAACCUCUUCUUUUCAUAAUGACAACAGAUAAACACAGAAAGAAUAUGGAGUUCUUUUAAAAAAUAAAAUCACAAAUUUGCCAACAUUCUAAUAAAAGUUAUUAAGAUACAGGAUCAUCAAAUGAUACUAAAUCUAGGAAGGGCAGGUGUGAGGAGCUACAGAAUUGUCAAGACAAUAUCAGCAUUUCUUAUAAAACAGUAACUGGGAGAAAUAGUAACUAGACAAUGCAGAAAAUAGACAACCUCUUUUCUGUGUGAUGGAAAUUAACACCAAUAACAAGGACUAUUCUGCUCAUCUGAGCUUGGUACCCAGGGUUGCAUCACUUAAUAGUAUUCUCACCCACACCACACAAUCCAAAUCUACCCACGAGGAAACAUCAGGAAACUCCAGUGAAGCUGAUCGUCUUCAAAGACAUCAAUACAACAAAAGACUGGAAAGGGCAGAGGAAUGGCUCCAGAUCAGCAUCAUGACAGCACAAUCUACAAUCCCAGACUGGAUCCCGCCUCUGAGAAAUUACCAGCAGAGCAAAUGAAAUCGGAAUAGAGACUGCAGAUCAGAUGAAAGUCCCGUCUGAAUGGGAGACUGCAGGAUUUAUAUGCUUCAGUGAGACUGUGUGCUUGCUCUUGUGAAGUGCGUGUAUAGUAUUAAAGUGUGGAGGGCUGGGUAUCUGUACUAUCUCUCAAAUGAGUUAUAUAGAAAGGUUAUAUAUCAAGGAAUAGAAAGUUAUAAAGCAAACACAGGAAUCAUCAUCAAAAAAAAAAGAAGAUAACAUGUGUAGCAAUGAAUGUUUUCUUUUCUUUAAUUUUCUCCCAAACAAGCAUAUCCACACUGACAUGUAAGUGUGUAUUUCUGGAGUACAAAAACUUUCAGUACUACCCAAAUCCUCCAUGUAAGGCAAGCAGUGAAAAUAUUCCUUAGGGGUUGGUUGUCAACAUGUGUAUAAAGGGCUAUGUCUUUCCCAGGAAGCAUAGUACUACAGCUUCCAUAUAUUUUUUUAUAUGUAUGCACAAACUUCUGCACUCACGUGUAAUUGUUUCCUUUUGAUGGUGAUAGUCUCUAAGUUUUUGUCAUUUCCAUGUUUGCUUUGCUAAAGCUUGUGCUUGGCUUCAAUGCGGAGAUCAUAUUUUCUCUUCAUACCUUCUCUCUGGAGCAGUGUCUGAAAUGUGUGUUCUCAGCUAGCAGACUCAGUUUGUGAGUCAUAGCAUUAACAUAAUGUGAUGGUUGUUUCCUGCAGUGCAGUACCAAUGAAGACCUGCAUAGGAGGGCCUGAGUCUGCUCAUUGGACCAACUUGUGAGAGGAAAGUAUUCAGGUAUGUCUGUAAAAUGAGAGGCAUACAGGUUUAAGUCCUAGGUUGACCUAAAGUUAAUCAACCCAACUUUUAAUGGGUCUGUGAUACUCUGAUUGGGUUCAAUUGUAAAUUCCUCAUUAAACUUCUAUUCCUUAUAAGUCA